AAGAUUGUCUGUUGCACGGGAAAACUUCCUUAUGGGAAAAAACAAUCCUUCUAACUUAGUGACACAGGAAGACCUGACUAUUUACACAAAGUGGUUUGUGUGUCACCUACACUCACUCAGGACUAUUCACCACUACAUACAGUCCCUCCAGUAUUUGCCCAUCUCCAAAGUGCUGAGUGUAGCUGUCGAUGAAGUUGCUCAGGCUGGUCAGCAGAACGAAAAGGUCUGUGUUGAUGACAUCAACCCUAACAUUCAGAGAUCUUCAUCUCCAGGCCCUGGGGAUACCAGCAUUUCAGGACUGACAAGAACAGAAGCUGCUUUUUUCCUGCCCCAACACAUGACCGAAAGAGAAGAACUGACACCUCAGCUGGGGCUCCUGCUCUCCCAUUUCAAUAUCCCCUAUGACGUGGAAGAGCUGAGGGAUGCUGCUCAGGAAAUGGAACUUUUUAACUUGGUACUUAAUGGACUCUUUCUUAAUACAAAGAUAGGAGUUCAUGAAAGAAAACACUACUAUUUGCCACAAAGUUGGAUAUCUCUCCUACCACAAUUGUUUCUAGAGUGAUAAAAUAUAAUAGUAAUCGGUGAAAUUUAG
rnacentral:lncRNA from 1 species